GUAUGGCUCAGUAGGCAAGAGCACCAGACUGUCAAUCUCAGGGUUGUGUGUUCGAGUCCCAUGUUGGGCA